rnacentral:rRNA from 1 species
AACGCGAAGAACCUUACCUGGGCUCGAAAUGUACAGGACAGUCGUAGAAAUACGAUCUCCCAGCAAUGGGUCUGUAUAUAGGUGCUGCAUGGCUGUCGUCAGCUCGUGUCGUGAGAUGUUGGGUUAAGUCCCGCAACGAGCGCAACCCUUACCUCUAGUUGCCACCACGCAAGUGGGGAACUCUAGCGGAACCGCCUCGGAUAACGGGGAGGAAGGUGGGGAUGACGUCAAGUCCUCAUGGCCUUUAUGUCCAGGGCUACACACGUGCUACAAUGGCCGGUACAAACCGCUGCAACCCCGCGAGGGUGAGCUAAUCGGAAAAAGCCGGCCUCAGUUCGGAUUGGAGUCUGCAACUCGACUCCAUGAAGCUGGAAUCGCUAGUAAUCGUGGAUCAGCAUGCCACGGUGAAUACGUUCCCGGGCCUUGUACACACCGCUAGUC